UCAACUCUGAUGUUUCCUUGA
ensembl:piRNA 21ur-3520 ncRNA